GAUGAACGCUGGCGGCGUGCCUAAUACAUGCAAGUCGAGCGGACAGACGAGAAGCUUUCUCCUCUGCCGUUAGCGGGGGACGGGUGAGUAACACGUCUAUAACCUACCUAUAAGACUGGGAUAACUUCGUGAAACCGGAACCUAUACCGGCUAAUAUAUUGAACCGCAUAGUUCAAUAGUGACUGACGGUUUUUCUCUCACUUAUAGAUGGAGCCGCAGCGCAUUAGCUAGUUGGUAAGGUAACGGCUUACCAAGGCAACGAUGCGUAGCCGACCUGAGAGGGUGAUCAGCCACACUGGAACUGAGACACGGUCCAGACUCCUACGGGAGGCAGCAGUAGGGAAUAUUGCACAAUGGGCGCAAGCCUGAUGCAGCCAUGCCGCGUGAGUGAUGAAGGCCUUCGGAUCGUAAAGCUCUGUUAGCAGGGAAGAACAAAUGUGUGUUAAAACCUGUACGUAUUGACGGUACCCAAAGAGUAAGCACCGGCUAACUUCGUG
rnacentral:rRNA from 1 species